rnacentral:lncRNA from 1 species
CGACUCCUUUUUAUUGAUUUUUUUGAUUCUAGAAUUGUUCAAAAGGCCCUAGUCAUAGUGUGACGCCCCCAAAUCCGGGUUAUCUUUAACUCGGGUUUGGUGCUCACGAUACUAAUAUACUCAUUCAUACUAAAAGAAAAAUGUUUUAUAUUACAUAAACAUCGACUUAAAUCCCAAAUUCUAUAGACCUUUACAUAAAUUAUAAACCAAAUAUUAUUACACAACAUAGUACUAACAGUAUUUAUUACAUUCACUACUUAAGUUCAAUUAAGCACAUGCGCUUAAUAAAUGACUACUCAACAACUUUGCCUUUUCCUUUGUCUUUCCCAGAUGGACCAGCAACCUCAGUUUUAACUGAAAACAUUAUAUUUAACGCAAGGGUGAGUAACAGCUUGCUUAGCAAGGAAAUAAGCAGUUAAAUAUAAUGGAACAAAAAUAUUAUAAUAAUGAGGAUACAAUGCAACAGAUACUGAACAAGAUAAUUAUUUAAAAGUGUUGAGUAUGAAAAAUUAGGCUAUAGCAUGCUGUAAGGUCAAAUAACCAGUGAACUUUGUACUAGAAUUGACAGUAAUAAUACUGCAACCCAUGGAUACAAACAGUUAUAAAAGCUGUUCUAUAUCCUAGACUCGUACUUUAGGGGAUCAGCCUAAGUACCCUACAUUGUGUAUAACAUAACAGUCUAAUGACACUUUACAUGUCCUUCGGAAUCAUACGUCUGGUACAAUAUGCCCCUAUAAAAGGGUUGUUCGUUCACAACAUUAUAUAAGAAUCCGUACCAUAACAAAAUGGUUUGGAAAACAUUAACGGAUAAUUUCAUGAAUAAUAUCAAUAUAUCUCAACAGUUGUCUAACCUAAGUAAUGGUAUUGACAUACUUUCAAUGUAAACUCAAUUAAGAGAGAAAAGUUCGAUAUACUAUUCUUUUGAAGCUGAUUGGAAUAAAAAGGUUGUUUAACUUUAUAUUAUUCAUAAAUAAGGAGAUACGGUUCAGAAAUUAGAGAACCUGUCCAUUCUAGAAUACUUGCUCAAUAAAGAGUAAGAGUUAAACACUUGCCUCGUUUGUAGUCUAUUGUUUAAGAUUUCAACUUAAUUGAAGUGUUUCUCACAAAACCUACACAGUUAUUUACAUUAACAAGCAUGUUAGCCACAUAGUCAAGUCAUAUAUCAUGUAGUUUCAGUGAUCAUGGUUAGAUUUCCUAUAUUUGAUACAUUUUUCAAAUAUCUCAUCCAUGUUCUUAUCAUCACCAUUUUUCUCUUUGAUGGGGUGUAGUAUGAUAAUAACAUGCAACCACACAUAUGUAUAGUUUACACCACAUUAAGAACUUAGUACAUAAAGUUUUCAUGCUUUGCUUAGAGACUUCUAGCAUACAAGGUGCUUUUUGUAACUUAUUUUAUGCCUUUGAAAAUAUUCACAACUUGGUUGAGUAAUUUAUAGUUCUUAUAACACUAUAGCUUUAUUCUUGUAUACAAAAGUGUAACAUUCUUGAUUUUCCUCUCUAUGCCAAAACAGUCCCAACUUGACCUAUUAUGGCAAUCAAGCUUUGCUUGGCCAUUUGGUGCUUUAGUCAGGCUUUGUGUGCAAGGUUAAUUUGGUAAUUAAAAUUACAUCCUAUGUCUAAUCCUUCACUUUUUAUUUUCAAGGUCAAGUAGCUAAUUUAAAACUGCCAUAACAGUUUCUUGUAUUGUGACCUGCUACUGCCUAAAGGCAGAUGUCCCUCUAUACUUUACCAAGAAUCUAUAUUACUUCAUGAGGCUAACAGUUCUUGAGUUUUGACAAUAAGGAACUUAAUUUAGUUUAAAUUAUUCUCAGCUUUAACUGAAUUUGGCAAGCUUAUCACUGCAAUAGCAGUUAAUUGAGGCCACUUCUAUUGUUGACUGCUAGGCAGUCCCAUGAUUUCUUUUUUAUCACAUUUUCAUUCUCAACUUGUAAGCAUACUAUAAAGUCUACAUAUGUUUACAACACCUACUCAAACUACACUGAAUGAUUAGCUUCCUAAAAUUACAACUCUCAACCAAAAUGGUUACCUAGACUGCUUUAGCAGUUACUUGUUAUCAACUGUUGUUGCACAUAGGCAGCAGCCCCCUUCAUCUUGGCCUAUCACUUCAUGUUUUCAUAACCUUUACUACGUUCUUUUAGUACUUUUAGUUUAGACAAGAUUGCCCAAAACCACCUUAGCAACAGCUCAAAGCUGCAGCUUUCAUGCCAACUGUUCCAUAAUCUUGGUUCCCUUGCAAGCCCAGAACAACAGUCCACAGUCUUCUUUUGUCUUUCUAUGCCAGCAACCAAGCUUGGCUUGGCCCUGUGAGGCUGAGCUAAGCUUGGUGUGGCCCUGCUUGGCCUCACGGCCCCUAAGUCAAAUCCAAAGCUGCUAUUGCAGCUGCUAACUUGGCAACUGCUGCCACAAAUGAGCAGUAGUUCUGCCAUUCUUCUUUAACUUUUUAUACUUGCAAACUCCCAAGGAAAGUCUAUAUACCAGGUUAUAAAACUAACUUAAACCAUCCUUGCUAGUAAAGUCAUAUUAAUUUGUUAAAAUAGGCUGGCCAAACUGCUUUAGCAGUCCUUCACUUGUCAACUGCUGCUGCUUGUUUUUAUAACCAGUAGGCAGCAGUCCCAAGUCCUAUGCUAUUACAAAAUCUUUAUUUCUUAGCUUACUAACUGUAACACAAAUGAAACCAGAUGAAAGUAGCUCAAUUACUAAUUUGGCACUGAAGCUUCCUACUGUUACUAGUUGCUUUUGUUGCCAAAGAUAGCAGUUUCUAUUUAUGGUUAGUACUAACUGUUAUAGCUGCUACACACUGCUACCUUUAGUAACAGUCCUUGCCCCUAUUUGUGAACCAAUAGGUCCUAGACAUGCUCAAAGUGUUGUAACUAUUGGUUUGCUCAAGUCUCAUAUUUAGUAGGUCCCUGAGGCCAUCUGCUGCUGCAAUUUAGCAGCAGCCCUUACUUGUUAUUCCAAGCCCAGCCAUCCUUUGGCCUCAGUCUUGCUAGAUUUUUAAGAGCAGGUCUCUUGGCUAAAAUCCUCUAGAGUUUUACAGUUAUCCAAGUGGCCUAUCACAUUAUGUUAAGCUUGAUUCCUUGGUUCAGCCACUGCUCAACACAGUGGACCAAAGGAAUAAUCAAGCUAGGAUUCCAAAAACUAUUAUGUUCUAAGGUUCAACCAACAAGACUGCACUAUACCAAAGUGAAUUAGAGGGCUAAGUGUGUCUAGUAGCUUUCUUGAAUACACUAGAAAUCAAUCUGAGAUUUCCUACUACUACUACUACUACUACUUGACAGCAACCUCUUUUCUUAAGUAUUAAUGUCUUAUAAGUUCUGUGCACCUACUACUUUAGGAGUUUAGAAACUUGCUUUAUUUUUAACUUUAUACACCAUGCCAAGUUCCACAGAUAACUGGACCAAGCUGUUAGCACAGCAGUUAGUUAACAACUGCUAUGCUACUAUGAUGAUAUACUGCUUAAAAUGCUAUUGUUCAAGACAGUAGCAAUAACCCCUUCUCAGCUCUUCCCUCCUAAUACAUAGCUUUAGGACCAAAAGCUUAAUUAUACCCAAGUUGAGAUAUAUAUUACACCUAGCACAUAGAAGUACCUUUAGAACUUAUAGCAAAAAUCAAAUUGAUUUCCACAAACUGUCCCAAAACAGUGUACAAAGGUGAUUGAUAUGCUAGAUUUUUCUACCUUUGGUCUUUUGCUAACAUUUACUUCUUGUUACUAUUUAGUAUGUUUAAUACUCUAACUUGUUGUUUCAGUUUCAAUUGAUCAACUAUAUUCCCUUUUAGAUAUCCCUACUACAAUUCAGUUUCAAUUGGCUGCAUUAACAACCUUGACAGUGGACUUAUCCACCUUUGGCUUUAACUUGAAAUUUCUUAAUAGUUAGGUUCCUUAACUCCCAUUUUACUCUGUACAUUUUCUGUUUGUUCAUGGACAUUCUAACAGGCUAGAGAAGGAGUAUCGGCCACCUAAUAUCCUCCCUACUUUGACUGCACAGAUAGGUUCUUUAGGUAACUUUGAUAUUCCAAGUUUUAGUUCUGUUUUCAUCUUAUCACAUUCCCAACACUCCAUUUAACACCACAUGUAAUAAUUAAAUCCAGCUCCUGCUUAACUGUGGUCUAAUGGUCAGUUUUUGUCAACACAGUCCACUUGGGACUUUUAACAAACAGGUGGUGUGCAUAGUUUUGUGUUAUCAAAUUAACUGCCAUUUGUUUACAUUAUCAAUCCAUGAUAACCUCCUUAUUGCUCCACAGCCCACCUAUCUCCUUGUGCCUAAUUUACAUACAUCACAGUAGCAUGCUAGUGAAUUACCUUUUACAGCAACAACAUAGUAACUAAAAGGAAACACAGUCCUUCAUGACUAUUCUAGGCCAUCCGGCCAUAACAGAUUCUUAGUGGCACAAAAAUGGAAUGGAAAAAGGAUUGAAAAGAGUCAGAAUUAGCUUACCUUUCUGAUGCAAUGACUUCAGAUGAGUUGAGUUGCUUAAUUCCUCCUCCUUCUAUAGCCGAAGCUCUUUCACUCUUACUCUCAGUCAGCUCUCUUUCUUUUUCUUUCUUACUGUGCUAGUCUUGGGGAGUCAGUUAAGGGGUGGAACAUGGAGUUAUAUAACUGAGCUUGAAGUGUCUUAUAUGGCAUAUAUGGCUGAACCUUCUUAUCUCUCAGUCAGUCUACCUGACCCCUUGCAUACACUCCAGUACCUCUAGCAGUUAGACUGCUCUGCAGUGGCUCCUACACAGCCACCCUAACAGACCCUAGCUUACCUGCUAUGCCUUAUCCACUGUAAGCCUAACUCUCCUGCUAGUUGUCUGUUAGCUGAACUAAUCUUACCAACUAAGAAAUAACUUGGAACCUGUAUAACUUGUUAACUAACUAACUAAUGCAACUGAUACAACUAAC